UACGUAGGGUGCGAGCGUUGUCCGGAAUUACUGGGCGUAAAGAGCUCGUAGGUGGUUUGUCGCGUUGUCCGUGAAAACUCACAACUCAAUUGUGGGCGUGCGGGCGAUACGGGCAGACUGGAGUACUGCAGGGGAGACUGGAAUUCCUGGUGUAGCGGUGGAAUGCGCAGAUAUCAGGAGGAACAUCGGUGGCGAAGGCGGGUCUCUGGGCAGUAACUGACGCUGAGGAGCGAAAGCGUGGGGAGCGAACAGG
rnacentral:rRNA from 1 species